CCCACCAGCCGCAGUUUGCUAUUUCCUUCUGGAAACAUCUGGAAGCUUACAUCUCUGAUUUGACAAGCUGAUUUUGGUCCCUCUGUUUCUGACCUAUUUGUUUUCUAUUUGCUGAAUCCCACAGAUCCUGACGUCUGUGUGCUGGACCCUCACCCAGUCACCCAGGCCCUAUAUCCGUGGUGUCUGCUGCCUGGGCUGGACUCUGGCUCCAAGUGGCCCUGGCACAGGCACACACCCAUGGAGAUGGAGAAGAGGCACAUGGAAACCGGUGGAGAGCAGUGAGCAGAGAGUGGAGCUGCCCAAGAGAGAAGCAACAAUCAUCAACACAGAAGAUGUCCGUGAUCAAAGGUGUGGGGUUUUCCUAUACACACCAAGUGGCAGACACCAGCUGGGUGUCCUCCAAUUCCACUCCAACACUGUCUACCUGGAGAGAGUGUCAGAACCCACAGUUUGGGGGCUCAAUCCCAAGAAUGCCCUCUCACCCACCCCAAGACACCAUUUGGACAUGGAUGAAUCUGGAGGACAUCAUCCUCAGCAAACUGACACAAGAACAGAAAAUGAAACACCGCAUAUUCUCACUCAUAUGCGGGUGAUGAAAAAUGAGAACACAUGAACACAGGGAGAGGAGUACUAAACACUGGGGUCUAUUGGGGGGAAAAGGGGAGGGCCAGUGGGAGGGGGAGGUAGGGAGGGAUAACCUGGGGAGAAAUGCCAAAUGUGGGUGAAGGGGAGAAAGGAAGCAAGACACACUGCCAUGUGUGUACCUAUGCAACUGUCUUGCAUGCUCUGCUCAUGUACCC